rnacentral:misc_RNA from 1 species
UUGGAAUUCAAACUGCGCAGACCGCAAGCAAUAUCGAAGUUUAACCAAUAUUAAAAUUCUACCAUUGGAAUUUUAUUCAUUAUAGAUUAAUUGUCUUUCGUGAGGUGCUAACAUCGAAAUUUAAAAAAUUUCAAUUCAGUUCGUUCAGAAAAGUUCGUUUUGUUAGCAGAGAAAAAGGAGUUCAGCUGCUUCAGCGCAUUUAACUAUUCGAAUUAGUCCGAUUUCGCUUGGAUUGUUUUUAUUGGAAAUUUUGCAAAAUGGUCGCUUCAUUAAAUGCUUGCCAGAACGGCAUAGUAAAUUCCGCAGCCGAGGGCGCCGCUAAUGGAGUAAUCACCAAUGGCACAGUCAAUGCAACCAAUGUGAGCAAGACUUUGGCUAAGGGCAAGUACACUUUGGUGGGCAUCGAUAUUGACACAACGGGACGUCGUCUCAUCGAUGAAAUUGUCCAGUUGGCCGCAUAUACCCCAAAAGAUCAUUUUGAACAAUAUAUUAUGCCAUACAUGAACUUGAAUCCUGCCGCUCGUCAACGUCAUCAAGUGCGUGUGAUCUCAAUCGGAUUCUAUCGUAUGCUGAAAUCAAUGCAAACAUAUAAGAUUAUCAAGUCCAAAUCGGAAAUCGCUGCCUUGAAAGAUUUUCUUGAUUGGCUAGAAGCGCUUAAAGCCAAAGAUGCAGCAUCGCAAGGUAUCAUUCUAGUCUAUCAUGAGGAACGCAAAUUCAUUCCAUAUAUGAUUUUGGAAUCGCUUAAAAAGUACAAUCUGCUGGAUAGAUUCCUCAACACUGUCAAAUCUUUCGCUAACGGUUUUAAUUUGGCCAAAAACAAUGCCAACGAAUCAUUGCAACACUAUACAUUGCGCAAACUGUCCAAAGUCCUGAGCGCCAAAACACUCGAGAUAAACAAUAAUGCUUCCGAAGGCGAAGCAAACCACAAUAUAAGCUCAACGACUGUGACAGCCGAGAGUCAGAGCCCCCAAAAGUCGUUGAAUAAGGGUGCACCAGCACAAGAGCGUGAGUUGUUUGACGGCAAUGCUAGUGUGCGUGCUAAAUUGGCAUAUGAAGUAGCACUGCAGUUGAGCAACCACGAACAAAAGUUGCCCAUCGAUUCGUCUGCUGCAUUGGAGCAAAUGCUCACCGCCUUGCAAACGUAUGCACAACCCAUCGAAUGCGAUUUGAAUGAACUACAGACACAAAAUGAGAAUUUAGAGCGUCAAAAUUCAUUCCGACCGGUGUUUUUGAACUACUUCAAAACCACACUCUACCAUCGGGUGCGUGCUGUCAAAUUUCGCAUUAUACUUGCCGAACAGCGCUACGACCUGCAAACACUGAAUGCAAUUUGGAGUGAGAAACAGAAAGAGGGUCUCUCCGAAAUACUGCAAGUCAUUGAGGAGCUCAAGGCAGAAGAUAAGGCGGAGUUGGCCGAUUUAUUUGACAGUUACUUCGAUCCAGCAAAAACGACUAUUAAGCCGAUUGUUAAGAACAAUAAUCGUCGCCGAAAUAGACGCGGAGUACGCAACAUUAAAAACGACGGUAGCAAUAGUGCUCGACCAUGUAGCGAACAAGGCGCAGGCGGCGACAAACAAGUCGCAGCCGGCUUGCUGCCCGAUUCCACAACUAAGUCUUCAUCUCCGCCUAACGGUGGCAAGCCUCAGCGCGGUAAGCGUAACCCCCGCUCCCGUAAUAACUCCUUAAAAGCACAGCUACAAAGCGCCGUCGACACAAACAACAUAACGGCAGCAGUAACCAAUUAAGCAUCAAUGUUGAUAGAAAUGAAUUCUACACAGACGCUGUUGCAACAAAAAAAUUUUCGCUCAAAUUUAAUACCAAAAAAAGCUUCAUGUGCAACAAAUAUUUGAUUGGUGCAUUGCAGUUUGUGUUAAAUUGAAAAAUAUCAACUCACUAAAUAUAAUCGAGGAGUUACGAGGAAGUAAAUAGAAGAGAGUCGGUUCCGUAAACUCCUUGCACAAAAUUUCUGUGAAUAAAAAAAUUUAAAAUGUGUGUUUAGGUUAAUCACAAAAUUUUUACGAAAAAAUGAAAUGAAAGAAGCUCGACUUUUGAAAUGCAGCAACAUCUCAUAUAUAUUGAGUUCGUGAGAUUUAUGCUUUCAAUGCCAGUGAAAAGGAUAGAUUUGCCGCAGCAAUGCAAGUGAAAUUAUUAAAAUAAAUAUUGAAUUUAUAUACAUAUAAAUAUAUGUGAUCGUCCAAAGAAACGUGAUCAAAUCGAAGCAAGAUAAGAGCAACCAUUUGGUCGCGCUUUGAAUUCAACAUACAUAUACCGUCUAAUCGAGUCGCAGCAAGCAGUUGCCUAUCAUCUAUGCCUGCUCAGUAUCGUUAAGCCACCAGCUGUGGAGAUGGGAGAAUAUUUUCGUUUUUAGUUUAAUACAGACCUCAUUUAGUUGAAAAACGGGAGGAACCAAAAAUACGACUGAUUUAUUGUUAAAACAUAUAGCAAAUAUUAUUGAGAACAAUUAUGGGUAGUUACCAUAUAAUUAUUACUUUUACGCUUACAAGAUUGUUCGAAAAUCAAGGAAUCUCGAAGCUGAUUCUUACAGGACCUACUCAAAUCCUUCAGUAGAACCAUAUCGGCACACGCCAGAUUCCACUUACAUUUUACUUCAAAUGAGCUUCAUACACGAAAAUUAAAAGAAAUAACAAAAACAACUAAACUGUUUACCUCAACUUAAAAAUAAAAAUAAGUAAUUACUAAAAUAGAAAAUGAUGAAAUAAACAAACUUGUAUACAUAGAUCAGAUCCCUCACGCAAGCGCCAAUAGCAACAUAAUUUCUAAAUAAUAGGCAUAGCCGAUUCGCAUGUGCCUUUAUUGUUCUUGUAUUUGCAUUGAAAUGCAUAUGAAACGCAAAUGCACACAAUUAUUUUUGCACACACUGAAAUGUUAUUGCAUUUCCCCACAUAA